AGGUAUUUAUUGUUCUUCAAAUAGGGCCAUAUAGAUAUAGGCAUUUGGAGAUUGAUUUAUAUAAUAAAUGAUAGAUUGAGACAAUGGGUUCUGAAGGUGAUGCAGUUGGAGAGCCAAAUCUUCAAUCUUUGGCAAGGCAAGGUUCAAUGUUCAGUCUCACCCUUGAUGAGGUCCAGAACCAGUUGGGUAAUUUGGGGAAACCUUUGGGGAGCAUGAAUCUCGAUGAGCUUCUCAACAGCAUCGACAAUGGUGGUGCAGCUCCCCAAAAUCAUUUGCCUCGGCAAGGUAGCCUCACAUUGUCCAGAGAUCUUAGUAAGAAGACUGUUGAUGAGGUAUGGAAAGAGAUACAACUGAAGAUGAAUGACAAGGAAGAACAAAGGAAUAAUGAACCAGAAAGACGAGCAACUCUUGGUGAGAUGACCCUUGAAGAUUUCUUGGCGAGAGCAGGAGUUGAUGCUGAUUCAAUUCGGGUGCCGCAACAAUAUAGCCAACAACAACAGAAUCAAUGGAUGCAAUUCCUGCUCCCUUCAGUACAGCAACCUCAGCAACAGCAUCUGGAUAAUAUGAUGCCUGUUUUUAUGCCGAGCCAUCCGAUUCAACAGCCUAUGGCUUUGAGUAUGAUGGAAGGCCCUUAUGGUGAUGUUCAAAUGAAUGUGUCCCCCUCUUCUUUGAUGGGCACUCUUUCAGAUACACAGGCAGCAGCUGGGCGGAAAAGGGCUGCUCUUGGAGGAGACGUGGUUGAGAAGACGGUUGAAAGGAGGCAUAAGAGGAUGAUUAAGAACAGGGAAUCUGCAGCGCGGUCACGAGCCAGGAAACAAGCUUAUACACAUGAGCUAGAGACCCAGAUCUCGCGUUUGGAAGAGGAAAACAAAAUACUCAGAAGACAAAGUGUAAGCUCUAUUUUUCAUAUUACUUGCAGCUUUUGUCAUUACUAGGAUAUGUUUUGUGGUAUUGACUCUUGUGUAUCUUAGUUGCUUGAUCAUGCCUUGCUUCUUAAUUUUUCAUCCAUAGUAGUUCAAGAAAUGGAUGCAGGUAGUUAGUUCAUGUCCCCUACUAUGUUGUCAUCAACAUUAUUCCGUGAUGGGAUUUUUUAGUAUGUAUUCGAUAAACAAUCUUCACAAUCCGCUCAUUGUUUGUUCAAUGCUGCAAUAACAGUCUUCAUCUGUUGCACCACAUAUUGGUUUAACCCAUCCGUAGAUAAUCUCUAGAUGGAUAGCUGGAAUGAUCUCAUUGUGGAUCCAGAAAUAUGGAUUAAACAAUCAUUUUGUCUCUUUCAUUGUGGUUUUUGUGACUUUAGUUUUUAUUGGAUAGGACAUGUUUCGUCUUCCCAUUCAAUAGAUUCUUCAUCAAUCCGAGUCUUAGUAAGAUGCUUACUCUCAUAUUUUAAUUUUUGGAAGUCAAGGUUUGAGACACCUACGAAUAAGUUGUUGUGAAUUUGUUUCUUGACGUCACUACCACAACAAAAAUUUGUUCAAGCCUCUUUAUUUGUUACGUUUCUUGAGAUGCCUAUGACUAAGGUUUUUAACCCAGCCUUGCUUUUCAUUUUAAAGCCCUAAUUUCAAGUUCUUUCAAGCCCUAAUCAUCCAUUUUAAGAUUAGUUAACUUAUUGGGUUGGGGCAUAUCACAUCAUUUAUACGUAUUGUAACACUAGGCAAACAAUUCACUUGUUAAAAUCUAAUUGUUCUGGCCAAUUUAAACUGAGCUGAAGUAAAACUUCAUUGGGGAAGCCUUUCUACUGGUCGCAACGUCUUACGCAGGUUAGGGUAAUAGUAUCCAUGUCAACUAAUGGAAUAUUUCUCAAAAUUUAAGAUUCCCCCCUGGUUCUUUGUUCAGACAUGCAUGUUUUGUCCAGCAGUCUUCUUUUGUGUAUCCGCUGAAGUAAAAAACAUAUUGAACUCUUUCUUUCAACAUAGUCCAAAGUGCAUGAGUUCACUUGUAGAUUGCGAGAUUGCCUGUAAGAAUAUGACAUACCAACUUGGUUGAAAUGGAGAUCAAUCUCACGGGAGUCCUAUGGAGCGAGAGUCGAGUGGUUAGAUUUGUUUAGAACUUGGGAGCUGUUCGCCAUGACAAAUUUUGUUGCUAACGACUGACGUUUGAAUAAACAUGGAAUUGUAUAAGGUCUUGCCAAGUGCUCCUCCCAUCGAGCCUAAGCAUCAGCUGCGGAGAACGAGUUCAGGCCCAUUCUGAUGUUUUCCUUGUCACUGCAUAAUGGUUAAAAGAUGCAUUAUUCAGGUGAUUGCCACUGGA